GAUGAAGAACGCAGCGAAAUGCGAUAAGUAAUGUGAAUUGCAGAAUUCAGUGAAUCAUCGAAUCUUUGAACGCACCUUGCGCCCUUUGGCCAUUCCGAAGGGCAUGCCUGUUUGAGUAUCAUGAACACCUCAACUCUCAUGGCUUGCCAUGAUGAGCUUGGACUUUGGGGGUCUUGCUGGCCUGCGGCCAGCUCCUCUCAAAUGAAUUAGCUUUCCAGUGUUUGGUUGGCAUCACAGGUGUGAUAACUAUCUACGCUUGUGGUUUCCACCAGGUAACCUUCAGUAACAUGGGGAUUUGCUGGAGCUCAUAAAUGUCUCUCCUCAGUGGGGACAGCUCUUUGAACGUUUGAUCUCAAAUCAGGUAGGACUACCCGCUGAACUUAAGCAUAUCAAUAAGCGGAGGA
rnacentral:misc_RNA from 1 species